UGGUCAAGUUAUUAAGGGUGCAGGGCGGAUGCCUUGGCACUAGGAGCCGAUGAAGGACGUGAUAAGCUGCGAUAAGCUUCGGGGAGUUGCACGUAAACUUUGAUCCGAAGAUUUCCGAAUGAGGAAACUCACUUAGAGUAAUGUCUAAGUAUCAUUAAGUGAAUACAUAGCUUAAUGAGGGGAACUCAGGGAACUGAAACAUCUAAGUACCCUGAAGGAAGAGAAAGAAAUUCGAUUCCGUAAGUAGCGGCGAGCGAACGCGGAUUAGCCCAAACCAAUAAAGUUUUCUUUAUUGGGGUUGCGGACAUAUCAUAACGAAGAGGUAUCGUAAUUGAAGAGGUUUGGAAAGACCCACCACAGAAGGUAAUAGUCCUGUAUGUUAAACGAGAAGACUUCAGAUAUGAUCCAGAGUACCACGGGACACGUGAAACCCUGUGGGAAGCAGGAGGGACCACCCUCCAAGGCUAAAUACUACCUAGUGACCGAUAGCGUAUAGUACCGUGAGGGAAAGGUGAAAAGAACCCCGGGAGGGGAGUGAAAUAGAACCUGAAACCCUGCACUUACAAGCUGUGGAAGCACAUUUCUUGUGUGACCGCGUACUUUUUGUAGAACGGGCCAACGAGUUACGUUAAGUAGCAAGGUUAAGCACUUAAGGUGCGGAGCCGUAGCGAAAGCGAGUUUUAACUGAGCGUUCAGUUACUUGACGUAGACCCGAAACCGGGCGACCUACCCAUGAGCAGGAUGAAGCGAAAGUAAAAUUUCGUGGAGGUCCGAACCCACGAGCGUUGAAAAGCUCGGGGAUGACUUGUGGAUAGCGGUGAAAUUCCAAUCGAGCCCGGAGAUAGCUGGUUCUCCCCGAAAUAGCUUUAGGCUAGCCUCAAGGUGAGAGAUACGGAGGUAGAGAGCACUGAAUGUCCUAGGGGGUAUUGCACCUACCGAAGACUAUCAAACUCCGAAUGCCGUCAUCUUAUACUUGGGAGUCAGACUGUGGGUGAUAAGAUUCAUAGUCGAAAGGGCAACAGCCCAGAUCGUCAGCUAAGGUCCCUAAAUGUAAGUUAAGUGGUAAAGGAUGUGGGAUUGCACAGACAACCAGGAUGUUGGCUUAGAAGCAGCCACUCAUUCAAAGAGUGCGUAAUAGCUCACUGGUCGAGUGAUCCUGCGCCGAAGAUUUCCGGGGCUAAAACUUACUACCGAAGCUACGGCAUCAGUAAUGAUGGGUAGGGGAGCUUCCCAUACGGGUUGAAGCGUGACCGUAAGGACAUGUGGACAGUAUGGGAGUGAGAAUGUUGGCAUGAGUAGCGAGAUGUGGGUGAGAAUCCCACAGGCCGUAAACCCAAGGUUUCCAGGGAAGGUUCGUCCGCCCUGGGUUAGUCGGGACCUAAGCUGAGGCCGAAAGGCGUAGGUGAUGGACAACAGGUUGAUAUUCCUGUACUACCGAUAACCGUUUGAGAGAAGGGAUGACACAGUAGGAUAAGCUAAGCACACUGUUGGUUAUGUGUGCCCAAGCAUUGAGGCAGUCAAAGUAGGCAAAUCCGCUUUGAUAAUGCUGGGAUGUGAUGGGGAGCGAAAUUUAGUAGCGAAGUAGCUGAUUUCACACUGUCAAGAAAAGUCUCUAUCGAGGUUAAAGGUACCCGUACCGCAAACCGACACAGGUGGGUGAGGAGAGUAUCCUAAGGCCAGCGAGAGAACUGUUGUUAAGGAACUCGGCAAAAUGACCCCGUAACUUAGGGAUAAGGGGUGCCACCAUCCGGUGGCCGCAGAGAAUAGGCCAAGCGACUGUUUACCAAAAAACAUAGGUUUCUGCUAAGUCGCAAGACGAUGUAUUAGGAGCUGACGCCUGCCCGGUGCUGGAAGGUUAAGGGGAUCUGUUAGAGCAAUCGAAGCAGUGAACUUAAGCCCCAGUAAACGGCGGCCGUAACUAUAACGGUCCUAAGGUAGCGAAAUUCCUUGUCGGGUAAGUUCCGACCCGCACGAAAGGCGUAACGAUUUGGGCACUGUCUCAACAACAGACUCGGUGAAAUUGUAAUUCCGGUGAAGAUGCCGGAUACCUGCGACAGGACGGAAAGACCCCAUGGAGCUUUACUGUAGCUUGACAUUGGGUCUUGGUACUACAUGUACAGGAUAGGUGGGAGGCUUUGAAACCAGGACGCCAGUUUUGGCGGAGCCAUCCUUGGGAUACCACCCUUGUAGUACUGGGACUCUAACCAUAGGCCAUGAAUCUGGUCUUGGGACACUGUCAGGUGGGCAGUUUGACUGGGGCGGUCGCCUCCCAAAAGGUAACGGAGGCGCUCAAAGGUUCUCUCAGUACGGUCGGAAAUCGUACGUAGAGUGUAAAGGCAAAAGAGAGCUUGAUUGCAAGACAUACAGGUCGAGCAAGGAUGAAAAUCGGACUUAGUGAUCCGGUGGUUCUGCGUGGAAGGGCCAUCGCUCAACGGAUAAAAGCUACCCUGGGGAUAACAGGCUUAUCUCCCCCAAGAGUCCACAUCGACGGGGAGGUUUGGCACCUCGAUGUCGGCUCAUCACAUCCUGGGGCUGUAGUAGGUCCCAAGGGUUGGGCUGUUCGCCCAUUAAAGUGGUACGCGAGCUGGGUUCAGAACGUCGUGAGACAGUUCGGUCCCUAUCCGUCGCAGGCGUAGGAAAUUUGAGAAGACCUGUCCUUAGUACGAGAGGACCGGGAUGGACGUACCUAUGGUGUACCAGUUGUCCUGCCAAGGGCAUGGCUGGGUAGCUAUGUACGGAAUGGAUAAGCGCUGAAAGCAUCUAAGCGCGAAGCCAACUUCAAGAUAAGAUUUCCCACCGCAAGGGUAAGACCCCAGAAAGACUAUCUGGUUGAUAGGUCGAAGGUGUAAGUGUAGCAAUGUAUUUAGCUUAUCGAUACUAAUAGGUCGAGGACUUGACCAAU
rnacentral:rRNA from 1 species